AGUACAGGUGAUUUUCUUAAUACCGCCCCAGUCUGAGAAGUCAUGACUGAUUGGUAUCUCCUCUGACUGCA